GCAGCCACUACAGACAUCUGUGUGGCAGGUCCUGCAAACAAAGAACCUCACAAAAGGACAGACACAGCUGCUGGCAGGACAAGACGCCCGCCCGGGGAAGCACUAAAGGAGCGGAGGGCCACUCAUAGAUGAGAAAGGUUUCCAAGGACUGGGGGAUGGGAAGGGAGCUCCAGGUCACGGAGGUUCAGAUUUACAAGAAAAGAUAGUUCUCAGCAUCUACCACACAGUGUGACUGUGCCCCACGCUAUGAACUAUCCUUGAAAGAAGCAAGCCUGUUAACUUCGACAUUACUGGUGUGCACUACCGUGCUUUAAAAUCUUGGCAGAAAAUAAGGCCAGACGGCAGCCCUGCUUAUUACCUCGUUUUGCCCUUUUAAUCCACAGGACGUACAAUGAAGAUUCUAGAGUGUUCCUGCAAGCACCUGCUCUUCUCAAACCCUGGGUCGCUCUGUGUGAUCUUGUGGGACUUGAGCCACCUGCAUUCUUACAAUCAAAUCUUGAAGACGAUCUUUCUCCUUCUCAGUCACUUUCAUAUUUUACCAUAGCUCAGCUGAGUCUGGGGGACAUGAUUAGAUUGGCUCGGUAAUGGAGUGGUUUGGACCCCACUAAGUGAUGAUCGAUCUGCCUGCUGCUCUGGUGCUGUGCCGUGGACAUCAGCUCUAACCAAGAAGACACCGCUAGUGGGAGCACGCUUCCUGCUGAUGGCCGCUAUAGCACCUCCGGUCUGGAUCUGAAACAUCAGAACUAGCUUCUCUAAAACGAACACUUCAAGCAUACAAGCCUUUCUAAAGGAUUUCCCCGCUCCCUAGUUGAAGUGUAGAAAAAAAGAAAGAGAAGAAGAAAGAAGAAGAAGAAGAAGAAGAAGAAGAAGAAGAAGAAGAAGAAGAAGAAGAAGAAGAAGAAGAAGAAGAAGAAGAAGAAAACACAGCAGCAGCAAUAUCCAGAAGAGUAAAACACCAAACCCACCGUCGCCUUAUGGACACACACAUGCUUAAACCAUCGAUACUCUCAUGAUGCUCUCUCACAGCAGCUGCUGCCUAGGAGCAAUUACUAAAUCCAGAGCAGACAAAGGACCAUCAUCUGGGUCUGGUCCCAAUCAACACACUUCUAAUCAUGUCCUCCAGACUUGGUCUAACCAGAUUUUCCUCUAGAGUCAUGCAAGAUAGACAAGCCAUUGUACACCCCAAAGCCCGCUUCUCAGAAACCUUGUUGAAUUUACCGUGCUGAAUUUAGUCACUAAGAUUUCUCGUGCAAAGCAGAGGAGAUGGCAAUUCUAAGUUCAUCCUCAAAACCACAAAAAGACAGCCAUACUGGCAGCUGUCACGGGUAUGUUGAUCUGAAGAGUUUGCUUUUUGCUUGCCUUUAAAAUUAAAAACCAAAGCAAACCAAAACAAAACAAAACAUUGUCCCAUGGGGCAGUGUAGCUAAAUGGAAGUUUCCCCCAAACAAGGGAAAAGCCUUGUUUCCCAUUCCCAGCACCACAUUACAACAGCAAUAAUGUUUUGAAGAGAAGACCAGAAAAGUUAUUCAAUUAUUCCUCAGAAAAUCGAAUUCCAUGGCGGUUGGGAAUGUAGCUCAGUGGUGGAAAAGUGAUCUAUGCUCUGGGCUGAAUGCCCCAGAACUGGAGGGAAAGCAUAAUCUACUCUAGCAUACUAACCUCAGAAAUGGGACAGACGACAGUGUUCAGAAUUUCCCGUUUUCUCUUACAUCAGAACACCAGCACUGAAAUUCACGACGAUAUACAUUCUCUCCCACCGGGUUUCCUUGCUGAUAAUGCGCUUAGACAACAAUUACAGGCCCUGAAUUAUCUCCCUACGAUGAAUUUGGCGAACCAGCAUUAAACAGACAUAUCGUAUUAGCUAAUGGCUUAUUCUGUCCUUCCAUUAGUACCUGGAGAAUGAGGGUUCUGCCUUUACGAACCCAUUCCCAGUAUUAAUCGCUUUGAAAAUGCGCGUUGCUGUGUGGGGAGACCUGAGGGCCCUGCUUUGAAGAAGUCCGACGGACACGAGGUUGCUGGGCACGCGGUGGGUGAGUCCACGACUCCCGGCUCGGGCGUCGGGCUCGGCGGGCUAACGAAAACCAGCUGGUUUGAACCCCGCGCGUGGCCCGCUCGGCUCGGGACACCGGCUCCAAGCCCGAUCGGGUCUCCAGCGGACUCGCUUCCUCCCGGAUCACCCCACGGAUCCCACGGCGCCCGGUGCGGCCGCGGCCACCUCGGUCACUCACACCCAGAACCCGGGUUUCCCGCCGCCAACCCCACCGACUCUCCCCGAACCGAGCCGCUCUCGUGCCUUGAGGCACAACCUCGUCUUCGCUCUUCCGAUAGAAGAAAACACUCCUGCACUAAGGACGAAUCCUGUCCACAAUCUCUAAACACCGAUCCCCAACCGUAGGGGAGGUUGAGGGGCUGGAGGGUGGCUUCCUUACUGAGGGCCAAGAGUUUACUGCUCCUGUAUACAGACAGACAGACCCCAGAACUCGGAGGCUAGGAAACAGGUGGAAAGGCUCUCCUUCAACUACGUCUCAGCGAGCGAGCUCCUCCAACCUCCUGUUUCUAACUUCCAUCCUCUGUAAUAAACCUAUAAUCUUGGAAGUAAA